rnacentral:lncRNA from 1 species
ACCUUGUCACAUCCUCCCUCGCGCCGCCGCAAUCCCCAACCUCGGGAUCUCCCCUCCCGAUCCAACCCCGCUGCCCGAGCGCUCGAUCGAUCCGCUACUGCCUGCGCCCGACACCUCGCCUCCUCCGAGGGCCGCGUCUAGCACCACAAGCCCCUCAAAGCCGAGACCGCAACCCCCUGUGCCCGUGCUCCGGUGACGUGAGCCCGACCAAGCCUCUUCCCGCUCCAUGGCCGCCUCGAGCAGACGACACCGGAGCUCCAACACCGCCAGACCCCAGGAGUCGUGUGGCUGUCGUCGAUGGAGGAGCUUCGUCUGUGCAUGAAGCUCGGCCGUUGUGAGCUUCCGUGGCCCCGCGACCCCGCUGUCUAAGCAGCAGCACCAGCCCACCUCAGGACGCAGGCUCAUCCGACCAGCACCUCGACAGAGGUCGGAGCCGGCGACCCCGCGCCGCCAGAGCCGCUCUAGGCCAGAGCCCCCCCGUCUCCAUCUCCUUCCCCCCAUCUCUCCCUCGUCUCAUCUCUCUCUUUGUCUUGCAGCAGCCAAGCCGCCCAUGGAGCUUCUCCACAUGUAGAGCUACAACGCCGUGCAAGCCACCUUGCUGGCGGGAACGGGACCCCCUCGUCCGGAUCCGUCGCGUCCUGCUAAAACCCCACCAUUCCCCCCUAGGAUACGCGCCGGAGAGCCGCCGGCAGCAAGCCACGCCGUCGCCCUGCAACCAAUGUCCCAGCCGUUGGAACAGAAGAAGAAUCUCUGUCUCCCGUUCCUGUUGGUUGAGGCACCGACAAGGUAUGGCUUAUCUUCAGCAAAACCGAUUAAUGCCACAAGCACUUCGUAGCCCGACUGGUUGGAGCGGUUCAUUUGCAACCAGUAAGUCCUUGGUUCGAGUCUAAGUGGAUCUGAAUUAUUGUGUGGUUUUCUUUAUUUUGCACAGACACACACCCGAGCACAUGGGCCGGAAACUUCCGCUGGCCGCAACCUAGUACAUAGAUUCGGCCAAUAGUCCUGUUAUUUUUUCUUUAAUUUCAGAAAAUGCAUAGUUUUUCAAAUGCUCGUAGAUUCUUAACCAUGCCCCGGAUCAGAGUGAUUUAAGUAUGUAACUUGACUAGAAUUUUGCGUAGGUUAAUAAUUUUGAACUCCCAUGCAUGAUAAAGACUAUUAACCUUGCUGUUUACCUCGUUUUGCGUGUCGUUUUGUGUUAAGACAGUUUAGGUCGUAGUUAUUUAACCGUAGCUCCAUUGGAGAUGAGCCAUAUAUGUAAAUGGACCAGAACAACGAGUAGAAUCACAUGAACAACUCCAUUUUUCCAUUUAACAAACAUAAAAUGUGACUAGGACAAAUCUGGACAGAUUUAGAAUUUAACGUGUGGGGUCAUUUCGAAGAUGCUAUAUAUCGUUUCCGGCCUCAUUUAAAAUGCCGAGAUAGGUAAUUUAAUUUGUGCUUCACCCCUUGUCAUGUUAACAACAUUUAAUAUUGUCGUGUUAAUAAACGGGAGUAAACUAAAUAAUUAAACGUGGAGUGUCGUCAAUAUGCAACUCAUUGCAUAUUGAACUUCACUUAAUGUGUAGUGUUUGCGUGAUGUGAAUUGCCAUGCCAUGCCUUGCAGAAUUGAACUGGACAUGCAUCAUAUUAGGGUGUGCAUCAUGUCGUGCAUUUGCCGUGGUGAAUAUCUUGUGUUGAUUCUUGUUUCGGGUUUGCUUCGUCUCGAUAGAGUUUCGACCGCUUCGGAGUGUGAGGAUCUGUUCGACUACGUCGGUUUGUUGGCUUCACGGAGUCGUUCUUCUUCUCAGCGGGAUCUCACGCGAGAUGACCAUUUCCCUAGAUACCAUUACUAUCAUUGCCAUGCUGGUUUUAUCAUUUCUAUCGCUAUGUCUCGCUGCCUACCACCUGUUAAAUAUCAGCCUCAACCUUCAACCUCUUCACAACCUAGCAAACCACUGAUUGGCUAUGUUACUGCUUGCUUUACCAUGUGUUGGCGAUGCUAGUUGCAGGUGCAGUUGCUUCCAUGUGAAAACAUGGGUUCCUUGUUAUAUCACCCUAUUAAUGCUAUUUUAACUUAAUGCACAUAUAUACUUGGUAAAAGGUGGAACGCUCGGCCUUUCUAGCCUGGUGUUUUGUUCCAGCUUUGCCCCCUUAGUUUCGGCUACCAGUGUUAUGUUCCAUAAAUGAGCGCUCCUAACAUGCUUGGGGUUGUUAUGGGGACCCCCUAGAUUCUCGUUUUGGGAUAAAGCUCUUCUAGCAAGGCCCAACAUUGGUACUAUAUUUUCCCAACAUAAUAGUUUUGUUAAUACUGAAAAACAUAGGGCGUCAUGAACCCGAGGAGUAAUUCUACAUAAUACAGGGAGGGCCAGUGCUGAUGGUGCUGGUCCAGAACAGAGCCGUUUGCGAGGCCAACCCGGGGCAACUAGGCUGAUGUCUAUCAGGCCACCGUACGCUGUGCUUAUCCGUCGUGUCGUGAGAACGAGAUACGUGGCUCCUAUCGGGACUGUCGACACGCCGGGUGGCCUUGCUGGACUUGUUUUACCUUUCUCAAGCGUCUUGUGCGAGGGAUUCCGAGGAUGCUUUGAGCUAACUCGAGGUUGAGGUUUUCCAAUAGGAAUCCGAGGAGAUCACGGGUUUCCCUGAUCGAGGUCAUUCCGUCGCAGCGUGUGGUAGUUUGUGAUGGACUAGUUGGAGCACCCCUGAAGGGUUAAAUCUUUCGGAAAGUCGUGCCCGCGGUUAUGUGGUAAUGUGGAAACUUUGUUUAACAUCCGGUUCUACAUAACUUGAAGUAAGCUUAAUUAAGAUAUGCCAACUAAGUGCGUAACCGUGAUUGUCUCUUUCGUGAGCUCCUUAUCCGACCAAGGACACGGUGGGGUUAUGUUUGACGUAAGUAGGUGUUCAGGAUCAUUCAUUUGAUGAACAAUAGUUCACGUCCGUUAUGCGUAGAUCACCCCUCUUAUUAUUCUUGUACUCGUAAGUUAGCCACCAAAUAAAUGCUUAGUCGCUUGCUGCAGCCUCACCACUUAAUCAUACCUCACCCAUUAAGCUUUGCUAGUCUUGAUACCUUUGGAAAUGAGAUUGCUGAGUCCCCUGUGGCUCACAGAUUACUACAACAUCAGUUGCAGGUACAGGUAAAGGAUAUUAAGACGUGAACGCGAUGACUAUUCAUUUGGAGUUUCUUCUUCUUUCUUCUUCGUCGAUCUAUGAUGGGUACCAAGCUGGCAGCGUGGGAUAGCAUGGAUGGACGUCGUUCUUUUAUCGUUUGUUUUCGUCCGUAGUCGGACCCUGCUCUUCUUCAUGAAGAUUGUAUGUAUUGUACUAAUGUGGCUCUGAUGUAGCUUGUGGCGAGUGUAAGCCAAUUCCAUAUACUCUUCUCUUCAGUACAUGUACUUGUAACGAUAUCCAUUCUUGCGAAACGACGAGAUGCGCUUCUAUCCCUGUCGAGGCCCUCGCGCCAAAAUAAGGAUAGGGUCGCAUCUUAGGCAUUACAAAAGGUGCUUGAUGAAAUGCCAGGUGCUUCAAUUUUG